rnacentral:rRNA from 1 species
ACCUGACUCCAUUCCGAACUCAGAAGUGAAACGAAAUAGCGUCGAUGGUAGUGUGGGGUUUCCCCAUGUGAGAGUAGAACAUCGCCAGGC